rnacentral:lncRNA from 1 species
AAGAAAUCUGCAAGGGCACUGAGAACCAAGAAGAGACCCACAGGGACCGCUGCAUGAGCUACUGAUGCCUGGGAAGACCUUCAUGUUGUCCUGAAGUGUCGGCAACUUCCGUCGUCCAGGACUCACCCGAGGAGAGGUUGCCAGCAACCAGGCUUCUUGGCUGCUGCAGAAUCCUGGCUACCUUCUGCCCCAAGGCAUGUCCUUUGAUGCUGGACAUGUGG